AGCACAAUAAUUAACAUGCUUUAACAAAAAUUAACAGUUUUCAAAUCAAUUUUAACAAGUUCAGCACAAUGAUUAACAGGAAAAAAAAGGCACUAUAAGCACUGCCAUCUCUCCAAUUGCUUAAUAACCUCCUUUCCUUUCCAACAGCUUCAAAGUAAUCUCUAGCUCAUCCUACAAUAAGUUAUAUCAAUUAGAAAUGAUCAAAUCACAUUCAUUUUGUAUGCAAAAACAGUUUUAACAUGGAAAGCUUCAUUGCAAGAAUUCAAGUCGGUGUGCAGGUCCUCGAACAGCAAAUCAAUACAAGCAUUCAAGAAAAAGAAAGACAACACAUCAACAACACAACAAAGAAUCGAAGAAACAUUUAAAACACAGUAACAACACAACACCUAUAGAAACAUUUAAAACAAAGCAACAAAGAAAGAAAUAUCUAAGAAUUACCAUUGCUGAGAACAGUAACUUGAACGUGUAUGCUCAAAGAAUCAAAGGCUAAGCUUCCCUGGGAAAGUGAAGAACACCCAAACGAAGGAAACUUCAAUCACAGCUUAAACCAAAAUUCACAAUCCCUUUCAAUUGAAGCCACAAGCAACUUGAGAACUAAAGCAAGGUUAACAAGGUUAAGCAGUGAACUAAAUCGGCGUAAUUUUACCAAAGAUUAACUGAACUAAAUCAAUUAAUUAUUUAAUGAUUCAAUCCAAAACAAGAAAACCGUAUAAUAUAGCACAGGAGGAGCAGAGCUAAUUAAUGAUUUAAAUUUCAAUCUGAGUAGCAUUAAUAGAAUCCCAAAAAAAUUAAUAUUCUAGCAGAAUCUCAAAAAAAAAUCAUUGAAUCAAUGUUCUGAGCAAAGAUAAAAAAACCGAGAACGAAUUUUUUUAAAAAAAAUGAAGCCAUUGCCUUCGUGAGCUCGAGGAAGACGCACCAAUUGUUGAAUGAGGAAGAAGCGCGGAGCCACAGACGACCGGACGAAGACACGGUGGUGUUUGAGCGCAACGGACGGCGGCACUGAGUGAGUUCCUUGCGGCGGUGGGGGAGUAAACUUGGGUUUGUGUUUUGGGGGUGGGGGGCUGUAUACCUGUAUCUGACUGAGGAGGAUGAGAAGUGGGGAACCUGCGGUGCGCUGCUCGAGGGGAAGGAGAACGGGUUUCUUUUUUCUUUAAAGAAAGCGCAUAACGGCGAGCAGAGAGCAUAUGAAGACAACGGCUAGCACGACGGCAACAUGACGGACGCUCGAGGAGUAAGCUACGUGCCUGCGAUUGGUGAGUUUGAGAGCGAACAGGGGUUGGAGAGGGUUGCGGCGGAAGCUCGACGGACGGCGGCAAUGGCUCACUCCUUGCGGCAGCAGUGGAACUUAGAACCCUAAUUUUUGAACUUUGAAGCUUUGCUUUUCUGAUUUUGAAUGAGUC
rnacentral:lncRNA from 1 species